UGGGGAAUAUUGGACAAUGGGCGAAAGCCUGAUCCAGCCAUGCCGCGUGUGUGAAGAAGGUCUUCGGAUUGUAAAGCACUUUAAGUGGGGAGGAAGGGCAGUAAGCGAAUACCUUGCUGUUUUGACGUUACCGACAGAAUAAGCACCGGCUAACCCUGUGCCAGCAGCCGCGGUAAUACAGAGGGUGCAAGCGUUAAUCGGAAUUACUGGGCGUAAAGCGCGCGUAGGUGGUUCGUUAAGUUGAAUGUGAAAGCCCCGGGCUCAACCUGGGAACUGCAUCCAAAACUGGCGAGCUAGAGUAGGGCAGAGGGUGGUGGAAUUUCCUGUGUAGCGGUGAAAUGCGUAGAUAUAGGAAGGAACACCAGUGGCGAAGGCGACCACCUGGGCUCAUACUGACACUGAGGUGCGAAAGCGUGGGGAGCAAACAGG
rnacentral:rRNA from 1 species